ensembl:misc_RNA 7SK 7SK RNA
GCAUGUGAGGGUAAUCUGGCUGCAACAUCUAUCACCCCAUUGAUCACCAGGGUUGAUUUGGCUGAUGUGGCUGGCUAGGAGGGUGUUCCCUUCCUCUGUCACCUCUCCAUGUGCCUUCCUUUCAAACCAUUCUUUGGUUGUGGGGGUUAUGAGUAGCUGUGCUCCCCUGCUAGAAUCUCCAAAUAAGUUCUCAAGUUUUUGAGUUCUGUGGAGUCUGGAUCUUUAAACAUUAGAGGAGUUCUAAUGUUCUGUGACUGACAAAUGACUAAAAACU